AAGCCAAUUAAUCUGCUUAUAUGAAUGUGUUUAUGCAAAACUUUAGAAACAGCUGGCACUAGUGAUGCCAUUUUAGGAAACUUAAGACAACUGAGGUCAUUAUGGUCCUUCAAAAUGGCCGCAAUA